AUCUAUAUUAACACUCUGUCUAUCUAUAAUAACGUCCACUUGCUCCGUAUGGUGUGCAGCGUUCUACUCUUUGUCUCUAGUUUAGACUUUAGAGGCACCGACUACACUUUGUCUACUUAUAUUCUGUCAAUUAACUAAGUAAAGAAAUUAGUUUUCGUCAAUUAUAUGUAUUUAGACUCUUUGCAGGUGUUUCAUGUAUCACAAACUCAAAUGAAAUAAGAGUGUUGGAAUUGAUCUCUAGGCUAACCUCCUGACUACCCGAGAGAAAAAAGGGGAGGCCAGUGACUACUUAGUCCCAGUUUCCGUAACCUGGGGACAUCUGGCCUGAUAGGUGUCCACAAGUGACUGGUCCAGCCUAUCGAUCGUUGUACAAAGGGAGGCCAGUGUAUUUGUUGCCGGUAUUAUGUAGUAUUGAGGGUGUUGGCGUCUUUGCUGGUAUAUGCACAAACAGAUAACAAAAAUGGCAAUGUCUUUGCAUAGACCCCAAUCGGCAACAGGAAAGGAAUAAAAGAGUUCGGUUGACUCUGUCUAGAAUAAUUAAUAUCCGCUUUCUCUGGUUAUUUGUAGUUUAGAGGCACUAAAGACACUUAUAGAUGAAUAUAUGAUGUUAUUUAAUUAGCUAAUAAUUCAGUUUGGUCAACUAUGUAUCUAGACGCUUUGCAAGUGUUUGAUGUAUCACAAAACUGAAAUGAGACAAGAGUGUUGGAAUUGAUGGAGACACAAUACCACUUUACUGGAUUGUGGUGAGACCAAAACUAAUUCUCGAGUGGAUUGGAAGUCAAGGACUCGCAACUUGACAGCGACAUCUAUAUGACGACACGGCAGUUGAAUUAGUUCCAUCUGUUUGUACUUCUAUGCAUGACAUUUAUCUGGGGGACGAUCCAGGUUCAUACUCCUGGGCUCUCUUGCUGGAAGACUCCAUUCACAAGCCAUCUUUCAGGCCUGAAUUCUUCGGCAUCCUCACCCCAAAGAUCCAAAUUAAAUGUCGAAGCUAUCUGGACUUGUUAUUUGGACAAUACUCUUAAGAUGAAUAGCAAGAGGAAUCAUUUGUACCACCGGAACACCAGGAUACAGCCGGAGAGUCUCAGUAAUCGCAGCAUGGAGAGCAUGUAGAAGAACCAUGUAAGGGUAUUCCCUGUGGUGUUUUUACCAGCAAUCAGGAAACUGAGGACUAUGUCACGAAGGAUCCAGUUUAACAUCUGACAUGUAGACUGAACCAUCUACCACCAAUCCACCAUAUUAUUGGUUAGCAAGAAAGAGAGGAGGAACAAAUAUGAUAAGCAAGGAGAACUACCCUGCUGUAUUUACUGAAGUUUGUCUUGAGGACAUGCUCGAUGACGGCAGGGUCGGCGGUUAAGAUCUCACUGUGCCCAGGAUAGACGAGCCUGAUGGUAGGGUGCAUGAGCGCAUACUUGACAUGCUCAUCG